UCCUGAAACUUACUAUAUGUAGGGUGCUGAUUCAGGGCUUGGCAUAGGUUUAUUGUCUAGUGAAACCUGAAACAAAUAUUUGCAUUUUAUUUAGUUCAUGCAUAGGAAUAAGACUUUAUAGUGUGCCGUAAAACCUUGUUUCACUUUUAGCUCGAACCACUGUAGGAGUAAAUCUUAAUUCACAUAUGAAAAAGGUUUUCUCAUAUUUUCCCUGUCUGUUCUAGGACCAUUACAAGUUGUAUCUAUUAGAAUUGGAAUAAGUAUAUACAAUCCUACUUAGAAUAGGAAUCCUAGUUGGAAAAGGAGUUUAAUGUAGUGUCUAUGAAGAGGGUCUCAGUGUAAUAAUGUAGACACACAAUUCAAUCAUAUUCUUCUCUAAUAUCUCUCACAUGGUAUCAGAGCAAUGGUGAGAAAAUUAAAUAAGCCGUCAGUGUCCAAUUUUCCGGUGACCUAAGUUGUGUGAAUAAAAAUUUUGUGCUUGUGUUUUUCAAAAACAAUUUCCAAGCAAUUUCUUUUUUUUUCCAGUGGGAUCAACUCUAAAUUUUGAGGCUUACCGUAUACAUAUUUCUUGAUUAUGGUCGAUUUUCUGGCGAUCAAAUCCUUUCAAAUUCCACAAUAUGUCGUUCGGGAUUGAUAUUUUUGGGCUCCAAAAAUAUAGGAAGUUCAAGUGCUAUGAUCACAUCAGAACUAUUAAUGUGAAGCUCAAACUAUUUAGCUUGGCUUUCUUCGGUAAAGUUGUUGUGCAAGGUCAAGGCAUCCAUGAUCACUUAACCAACAAAGCUUUUGUGGUAGAUGAAAAGGCAAAGGCUAGUGAAACAGAUGAUAGAGCCAAAGCACAAUGGGAGAUGUUGAUGCUCAAUUAUGUCUCCUAUGACGAUCUAUCGAUUCCAAGUUAAUGCUUUUGGUUAGCUCAUCCCAGACAUGUUAUUCAGUUUGGCAUGGAGGCAUUCGAAACGUUGAUGCUAGUUACUACGAAUGUGGACAAACAACAAGAGCAUAAACAAACAUUGUUUCUAGUUCUUACACUUGUUGGACUUCCUCCUUACCAUGAUUUAGUGCGUGCUCAGAUUUUAGCUAGUCCUUCAAUACCAACCGUUGAUGAAUUAUUCUCUCGUCUACUUCAUCUAGCCAUACCUCCCAAUCACCAAGUAGUUUCAUCACCUACCAUUGACUCCUCUAUUCGGGCAUCUCAAACCAUAGACAAACGAACAUAUCAGAUUGUGAAUCGUGUAAACUUGGGAAACACAUUAGUGCUACAUUUUACAUUAGUACCGAGGGUUGUUCAUAUUCUAUUUUUUCAUUAGUUCAUUAUGAUCUUUGGGGUCCUAGUAGAGUUAGUCCACUGUUAGGGUUUUGUUAUUUCGUUAUUCUCAUUGAUGACUAUUCAAGCUGCACUUUGGUUUUCUUAAUGAAAGAUCCUUCUGAGUUUUUCUUUUAUAUUCAAAAGUUCCUUUGCUCAAAUACAAAGUUAGUUUGGUGUUUCUAUUCGUACUUUUCAUAGUGAUAAUGCCUUGGAAUUUUUAUGACUCACUAAGGCAUUUUUCACUAAACAUCUUAUCUGUACACUCCUCUGCAAAAUGGUGUAUCAGAAAGAAAGAAUAGGUAUCUGAUUGAGCCGCUUGCACUCUCCUCAUUGAAUCUCAUGUUCCGCUGCGUUUUUAUGGUGAUGCAACCCUUUCAUUAGAAUCAGGUUCCACAUUCCAUACCGUUUCCUCACUUACGUCUAUACUCAAUUCCACUCGUGUGUUUGGCUUAGCUCCCGGUAAAGAUAAGUUAGCUCCUCGUGGUCUCAAAUGUGUCUUUCUUGGUUAAUGGUUGCUAGCAAGUUCAAAAAAGGGUACAUUGCUAUUCACCUAAUCUUCGUCGAUACCUUAUGUUCGCUGAUGUCACAUUCUUUAAAUCUCAAACCUUAUUAUACAUCUUGUGAUCAUUUUGAUGUCUUUGAGCUCUUACCCAAACCUAUACCAACUUUUGCAAAAUUUACGGUCACUUCUACAUCUCUAGUGGUAGUGCCACCACUCCUAAAUUAUCAGCAUCGUCCACCCAACGCUAGUUUCAAAUGAUUCAUCUCAUGCACUAGACUCUGCUCCUACUGCGGACUUUCCUCCUACUAGUCAACUGAUUUCAUUUCAUAAAGGUACAUGUGAAACACUUUCUCAUUCCGGAUGGAGACAGGCUAUGAUUGAUGAGAUAUCGGCUUUACAUAUGAGUGGUACUUUGGAGCUUGUCUCCCUUCUUACAGUUAAGAAGUCUAUAUGGAGCAACCACCAGGUUUUAUUGCUCGGGGAGGAGUCUAGUAACCUUGUAUGUCAAUUGUGUAAGUCACUCUAUGGCCUGAAACAAUCUCCUUGAUACUAAUUUGGAAAAUUUAGCACAAUAAUUUAAGAGCUCGGCAUGACUCGUAGUGGAGCUGAUCAUUCUGUGUUUUAUCGUCAAUCUGCGGCAAAUAAGUGUAUUGUUUUGGUUGUGUAUGUUGAUAUUGUUAUCACUGGCAAUAAUCAAAGAUGGUAUCACUAAUUUGAAACAACAUCUCUUUAAGCGUUUCCAAAUUAAUGACCAUGGUUAUUUUCUAGGUAUUGAGGUUGCUCAGUCUUGAUUAGGUAUUGUUAUUUCUCAAUGCAAAUGCAAGUACGUCUUAGACAUUCUUGAGGAGAGAGGAAUGGUGGGAUGUAGAUCCAUUGACACUCUUAUGGAUCCAAAUGUUGCCAUGGUGCUACAUAAAUAAAAUAUGAAAAAGUACUCACUACUGAAAAGAUACAGGGUGACCCAACUUUUGCUAACAUAAUCAUUGACCAGACGGGCAACAUAUACUUGUAACAGCC